GAUGAACGCUGGCGGCGUGCCUAAUACAUGCAAGUCGAGCGAACAGACGAGGAGCUUGCUCCUCUGACGUUAGCGGCGGACGGGUGAGUAACACGUGGAUAACCUACCUAUAAGACUGGGAUAACUUCGGGAAACCGGAGCUAAUACCGGAUAAUAUAUUGAACCGCAUGGUUCAAUAGUGAAAGACGGUUUUGCUGUCACUUAUAGAUGGAUCCGCGCCGCAUUAGCUAGUUGGUAAGGUAACGGCUUACCAAGGCAACGAUGCGUAGCCGACCUGAGAGGGUGGUCGGCCACACUGGAACUGAGACACGGUCCAGACUCCUACGGGAGGCGGCAGUAGGGAAUCUUCCGCAAUGGGCGAAAGCCUGACGGAGCAACGCCGCGUGAGUGAUGAAGGUCUUCGGAUCGUAAAACUCUGUUAUUAGGGAAGAACAAAUGUGUAAGUAACUAUGCACGUCUUGACGGUACCUAAUCAGAAAGCCACGGCUAACUACGUG
rnacentral:rRNA from 1 species